GAUGAACGCUGGCGGCGUGCCUAAUACAUGCGAGUCGAGCGAACGGACGAGAAGCUUGCUUCUCUGAUGUUAGCGGCGGACGGGUGAGUAACACGUGGAUAACCUACCUAUAAGACUGGGAUAACUUCGGGAAACCGUAGCUAAUACCGGAUAAUAUUUUGAACCGCAUGGUUCAAAAGUGAAAGACGGUCUUGCUGUCACUUAUAGAUGGAUCCGCGCUGCAUUAGCUAGUUGGUAAGGUAACGGCUUACCAAGGCAACGAUGCAUAGCCGACCUGAGAGGGUGAUCGGCCACACUGGAACUGAGACACGGUCCAGACUCCUACGGGAGGCGGCAGUAGGGAAUCUUCCGCAAUGGGCGAAAGCCUGACGGAGCAACGCCGCGUGAGUGAUGAAGGUCUUCGGAUCGUAAAACUCUGUUAUUAGGGAAGAACAUAUGUGUAAGUAACUGUGCACAUCUUGACGGUACCUAAUCAGAAAGCCACGGCUAACUACGUG
rnacentral:rRNA from 1 species